GUCAUUUCAUUGGCACGGAUGGUCCUGAAUUAAAGGGCCUUCAGAGGUCCAUUGCUAUGGACAAACAAUCCGUGACUGUGAGAGAGGGCUGACGUGAGAGGAUAUUGAAGCUGACGUAGGAGCUCUUAAUUCCAUCAAUGUUUAUGAGAAGCAGUAUGGAAUAGAGGUUAAAGUGCCAAACUUAAGAGUUCAAAGGGCCAAAAUUCAAAUCAUACCUUAGAUACUUCUUAGCUCACCUACCUUCUUACCUCUUUUCUCCAGGGCCUUCCCAGAAAGCCCUGUAUCACCUUUCGACCCAAGCAACCCACCUCAUGACCUCAACUCUGGAUUGUCUAUUGCCUGCUCCAGGAUUCUGAGGUGCUUCAGAGCCUUCCAUAGUUCUCCAGAGACCAUUCUUGGACCACACUCACCUUCCAUUGCCACCUCCUACCUCCUAAUGGGACUCACCUGUGCCAUACCUCCAUUUGCUUCUUCCUGCUAUGAGGCACUGAGUUAUUCACAAAAAAAAUCUGUUGCUUAGUCUGUAAUGGGCUGCUGCUUCCAAAGCAUCUGAGAAAGGUACUUUUUAAAAAAUUGCUUUUUAUUGAUGUUUUCCGUUUCUUACAUCAUCAUAGCAUCCCAUGUAUCCUUCUCCCUCACCUUCUCCAAGAUCAUACCUUAUGAUAAAUAGUGGUUUGGGGGGAGUGGUCAGAGAGGGGGAAAAAACAGCACAUUGAGAAAGUCCCAAACCAUGUAAAAUGCAUAAUACCUGUCAACCUCCCAUCUUCAUAAAGGGAUACAUUGGGGAGGUCUUCUCAUAUCUCUUCUUUUUCAUCCC
rnacentral:lncRNA from 1 species